rnacentral:rRNA from 1 species
UUUGAUGGCGACCGGCGCACGGGUGAGUAACACGUAUCCAACCUGCCGAUGACUCGGGGAUAGUCUUUCGAAAGAAAGAUUAAUACCCGAUGGCAUAGUUCUUCCGCAUGGUAGAACUAUUAAAGAAUUUCGGUCAUCGAUGGGGAUGCGUUCCAUUAGGUUGUUGGCGGGGUAACGGCCCACCAAGCCUUCGAUGGAUAGGGGUUCUGAGAGGAAGGUCCCCCACAUUGGAACUGAGACACGGUCCAA